rnacentral:rRNA from 1 species
UACGUAGGGUCCGAGCGUUGUCCGGAAUUAUUGGGCGUAAAGGGCUCGUAGGCGGUCUGUUGCGUCGGGAGUGAAAACUUACAGCUUAACUGUGAGCGUGCUUUCGAUACGGGCAGACUUGAGGCAUUCAGGGGAGAACGGAAUUCCUGGUGUAGCGGUGAAAUGCGCAGAUAUCAGGAGGAACACCGGUGGCGAAGGCGGAUCUCUGGGCCGAUACUGACGCUGAGGAGCGAAAGCGUGGGGAGCGAACAGG